GCCGAAGUGGUGGAAUUGGCAGACGCGCUACGUUCAGGGCGUAGUGAGAGUAAUCUCGUGCGGGUUCGAGUCCCGCCUUCGGCACCA
rnacentral:tRNA from 1 species